rnacentral:lncRNA from 1 species
CUUUAUGAAGGAGUCAUGUCCUUUAUGUCUGUAAAAAUGUAAAAGCAGAUUCUUUCUUAUCUGCUAAUGUCCUUUAUGAAUGAGUCAUGUCCUUUGUGUCUGUAAAAAUGUAAAAGCAGAUUCCUCCUUAUCUGCUUAUCCUCCUCUAUAUAAGGAUGGAGAAGAGUCGGUUGUAAAAGAAGAACUACCUUUGAAAUAAAACCCAGACGAGUUUUAAAAAAUCUAUGGCUUUCUAAAUUCCUCUCAUCUCUUCUUACUUGAAAAUAGGAUUUCUGUGGAAGAAAAUCUCUCAAAAGUUUAAGAGUAUGCUCUGUGCUUGCCAUAAUUAUGGAUCCUGCACAUCAGAAAUUAAACCUGAUAGAAGGUACUAUUAGG